rnacentral:sRNA from 1 species
CACCGCCUGGGGAGUACGACCGCAAGGUUAAAACUCAAAUGAAUUGACGGGGACCCGCACAAGUAGUGGAGCAUGUGGUUUAAUUCGAAGAUACGCGCAGAACCUUACCAACACUUGACAUGUUCGUCGCGACUUUAAGAGAUUAAAGUUUUCGGUUCGGCCGGACGAAACACAGGUGCUGCAUGGCUGUCGUCAGCUCGUGUCGUGAGAUGUUGGGUUAAGUCCCGCAACGAGCGCAACCCUCACUUUUAGUUGCCAUCAUUUAGUUGGGCACUCUGAAAGAACUGCCAGUGAUAAGCUGGAGGAAGGUGGGGAUGACGUCAAGUCCUCAUGGCCCUUACGUGUUGGGCUACACACGUGCUACAAUGGUAUUUACAACAGGAAGCAAGACGGCGACGUUAAGCAAAUCCUUAAAAAAUACCUCAGCUCGGAUUGCACUCUGCAACUCGAGUGCAUGAAGCUGGAAUUACUAGUAAUCGUGGAUCAGCGUGCCACGGUGAAUGCGUUCCCGGGUCUUGUACACACCGCCCGUCACACCAUGGGAGUUGGUUCUACCUUAAGGCAAGGUUUAAAACCCUUGACUACGGUAUAGUCAGCGACUGGGGUGAAGUCGUAACAAGGUAGCCGUAGGGGAACCUGCGGCUGGAUUACCUCCUUUCUAAGGAUGAAUGAAAAUUUUUUUCAUUCUAAAUAAUUUACAAGGUUAAUGUUGACCGUCCUCAUUUCUCUUCUUGAAAGUUAGUGUUUCUCUUGCAUGGGGGCCGGUAGCUCAGUUGGUUAGAGCACACCCUUGAUAAGGGUGGGGUCGAAAGUUCGAGUCUUUCUCGGCCCACCAAUUUAAGAUUAAGGGGGACUAGCUCAGCUGGGAGAGCGCCUGAUUUGCAUUCAGGAGGUCAGCGGUUCGAUCCCGCUAUCCUCCACCAAAAACACUUAGUUAUAAAAAAUUGUAAAUAAUAAAUAAUUAAUAUCAAUAUCUAUAUCCGAACAUUAGUAAUGUUAUUAGCUAAUGUUCAAAACAAAAAUUUGAUUCAACACAGAAUUUUUUUCUG